rnacentral:tRNA from 1 species
GCUCCAGUGGUGCUAUGGGUUAGCACAUGGUACUUAUAAUGCCAAGGUUGUGAGUUCAAGCCUCACCUGGAACA